UAGGGAAUUUUUCACAAUGAGCGAAAGCUUGAUGGAGCAAUGCCGCGUGAACGAUGAAGGUCUUUAAGAUUGUAAAGUUCUUUUAUUUGGGAAGAAUGACUUUAGCAGGUAAUGGCUAGAGUUUGACUGUACCAUUUUGAAUAAGUGACGACUAACUAUGUGCCAGCAGUCGCGGUAAUACAUAGGUCGCAAGCGUUAUCCGGAUUUAUUGGGCGUAAAGCAAGCGCAGGCGGAUUGAAAAGUCUGGUGUUAAAGGCAGCUGCUUAACAGUUGUAUGCAUUGGAAACUAUUAAUCUAGAGUGUGGUAGGGAGUUUUGGAAUUUCAUGUGGAGCGGUGAAAUGCGUAGAUAUAUGAAGGAACACCAGUGGCGAAGGCGAAAACUUAGGCCAUUACUGACGCUUAGGCUUGAAAGUGUGAGGAGCAAAUAGGAUUAGAUACCCUAGUAGUCCACACCGUAACGAUAGAUACUAGCUGUCGGGGCGAUCCCCUCGGUAGUGAAGUUAACACAUUAAGUAUCUCGCCUGGGUAGUACAUUCGCAAGAAUG
rnacentral:rRNA from 1 species